UACGUAGGGUGCAAGCGUUGUCCGGAAUUAUUGGGCGUAAAGAACUCGUAGGCGGUUUGUUGCGUCGGCUGUGAAAUCCCGAGGCUCAACCUCGGGUCUGCAGUCGAUACGAGCAAACUAGAGUGUUGCAGGGGAGACUGGAAUUCCUGGUGUAGCGGUGAAAUGCGUAGAUAUCAGGAGGAACACCGGUGGCGAAGGCGGGUCUCUGGGCAACAACUGACGCUGAGGAGCGAAAGCGUGGGGAGCGAACAGG
rnacentral:rRNA from 1 species